GGGUGUUUAAGUAUGAAUGAUAUAGAGGAUUCCUUAUCCUUUUUCUUUUUUCUUUUAUUUUUCUUCUAUUGAUGAGGGUUUUGAACUUGGAGAUGGUUUGUGCAAAACCUCUCUAGGUUAUUGUGAUAUGAUGUGAUUUUUGUUCUCUAAUGAUUGCUAAUUUUUAUGUAAAUUUGUAUGCAUAAUUUAGAGUUUUUAUGUCC
rnacentral:lncRNA from 1 species